CCUGGGAACCUCCAUAUGCCAAAGGUGUGGCCCUAAAGAGCAAAAAAAAAAAGAAUGAGAAAGAAAUUUUGUCAAAUGACAUUUCAACAUUGUCAAUUAUGACUGCAUGAAUUUUCUAUAUUUUCAAUGUAUUAAUAUACUGAAACAUAGAAGAUUCCCUAACAUGGAACAUUCCUACUAUAAUCCCCAUCUCAUCAUGAUCUUACUCUAUUCAGGAUUUUAUAUCAACAUUCAAAAGUGGUAGAACGUGGAUUCUCCCCACCUCAGUUUUUAUGUUAAUGCCUAUACUUUUUAUUUCCAAAAGCAUUCAGAAUUAUCUCUUUAGAAAUCAACCACUGACACAAAAUAUGUAAAAAUUCCAGGUAAAUAUUAAUAUAGUUUAUAACAUUGCUAAAUGCAUAAUUGAACUGGCAAUAAAAUAGUAGAAACCUUAACUGGUCAAAAGUUAUAAUAAAAUAUGAUGCUAGACAGGAAAGUUAAUAAUGACACUGUGCAUACAUGUUUAUGUAUUUCUUCUAAUAAUUUACAAGGUUUUCAUUCCAGUAUUAUAAGGAAGAGUGAUUUUCAAGUUGCUAUUCCUGUCAUCCACUAUUUAAUAUAAGAACUAUAAGACUUAUCAAAAUUGUGCACUUGUCUAGUUACUUAUAUGGUUCUUUUUGACAUGCUAUAUAACAGUGAUUAAGUUAGUUUAUAGAAUGAUUUUCUUUCCUAUUUCCCUCUCUCCUUAACCAAUAAUUUAAACAGAUUAUACUACCUUUUUUAGUAUUUCUAUUUUAUCCGUUAAAUGACUUUAUUCUUCUAUUAUUAGAUUUAUUAGUUCUAGUGUAUAUUUUGAUUCAUGGUUAUAAAAGAUGAAGAUACAACUAGACUUCUACUUUCUUGUACACACUUCCUCUUUUUUACCAACUUUUUUUAGUUACAUAAUUUAUUCUUUGUUAAAAUCUAGGACAAUUGCUUUCUAUUCUUCAACUAUAAUUUCCACAUGUUUGCCUAUUUGUCCUGCAAUUCUAAAACUUAGUCUUACAGUUGUAGCUGUGCAAUCAUAGCUAUACAGUUCUUGUGUGUUAGUCUUACAUUCCUAAUGCUCUUUCACUGGAUCGUUCACUAUAUUUAUAUAUUUUUAUUCAUCUCUUAAUUGCCAAAUAUCACCUUCCAGUAUUAUCUUCAAGAAGACCUCAAAGUAAUUACCUGGGCUCUUGCACCUUCAAGAAUGUUUAUCAACUUUAUCUUAGAAAAUAGAUGCUGCUCUGCUGUUUUCUAGUGUUGAAUAUUGACGUGGAGGAAUAUUAUGAUCUCAACCAUCAGAAAGUGAACAGUGAUGUAGACCAGAUUGCAAAAUAUAUAUAUAUAUAUUAUUAUAUAGAGAGCUAUGGAUAUUCACAUGUAUUAGGGAAUACAAACUUUCUGUGGGACUGUUUUUGCUGUUGCUGCUGCUGUUGUUAAAAUGUUUACUCUUAUAUCAUGCUUUCCUGAAAACUGGAAUACAUUAAAUAUAUCAUUCAAGGCCAAAUGGCAAAUGUUAAGCACUGGGUACUCAAGCAUUUUAUAUUUAACAUUUUAAAACAAAACAAAAUGAAGAAAACAAAAACAAAAUUCUCUUCCUUCUGGUAUUCUCACUGUUAAAUAGAGUUAUGGAUAACUUGGAAUUCCUGUCAUAGAUUUCACAAGCAGCCUCUUCUAUACAAUGAGUCUGCCCUGAGCUAAGCUAUGUCUCUGCCUUGGAUGAGGUCACAUUUUUCUUCCACUGAAAAUCAGGGAUUGUUAAACAUUUCUAACAUUGAUCAAUUUUACUUCCUUCCUAGGUAAUAUGCUGCAUUACUUUAUUUUGUUUUAGAGAGUCAACAGAGAUAUUUGCUUCAGUCACUAAGGAGGUUGAUUUUUAUUCUAGCAUCUUCAAAAAAUAUGUGUGAACAUGUGCCUUCAAUGCCGAUGAACUAACUGUUCUUCUGGAAAUAACUGUUGGAUCCCGAACUACGAUUCUCUAAUGAGAUGUCAGUCAGUUGUAAAAUCUUUAGUGAGACAUUGCUUAAUGAUGUUAGCUAAUUUUACUGAGUACUAAGUGUCUGGAAUGUACUAAGCCCCUGAACACAUUUUAUAGCUGAAUGGUUUAGAACAUGUAAUCCCAAUAACAAAACUAAGGUAGAUCUUUUUAAAACUCGCAUUUUAUAGAGGAAGAAAUGGGUCUCAGAAAAGUGAAGGAAUUCGCCCAGGAUCACACAGAUAGAGAGGGGGCAGAGUCACACUUUGAAGCCAGGCCUUUUGCUUCCAGAACCCAAGAACUUCACUGCUAUUGUUAAUGCAGCCUCCCAGGUGAUGUCUGGUUUGUUGUUAUCAGUAUACCUUUCGCAGGGUCUAAAUUUUUUUUCUUUUGUCUUUUUAGGGCCACACCCACAGCAUAUGGAGGGUCCCAGGCUAGGAGUCAAAUCGAAUAGGAGCUGUAUGUGCUGGCCUAUGCCACAGCCAUAGCAACAUGGGAUUCAAGCCUCGUCUGUGACCUACACCACAGCUCACAGCAAUGCCGGAUCCUUAACCCACUGAGCAAGGCCAGGGAUUGAGUCCGUGUCCUCAUGAAUACUAGUUGGGUUUGUUAACCACUGAACCAGGACAGGAACUCCAGUCUAUGUCUUCUAAAGGGCAUAACCAUAAUACAUAGGAGGAUCACUUGACUCAUACUGGUCUCAGUCUGAGUGAGAAAGUAACCAUUUUAUGUCAAGCGGUGAAGGUUUCAGGUUAGUCUGCUACAAUAGCUAGUGUUAAUCCUGCCAACCAGUGCCAAGUGAAAUAAGCCAGUCACAAAACACAAAUACUGUAUGAUUUUACUUAUGUGAAGUGCCUAGAGGAAUCAAAUGCAUAGACACAGAAAGUAGAAUGAUGCUUAACACGGGCUGGGGGCAGGAGGAAAACGAGGAGUUGUUAAAUGGGUACAGAGCUUCAUUUUUGCAAGAUGAAAAGAGUUUUGACAGUUGGCUGCACUUACUUAAGUUACUUAAUACUACUGAGCUGUGCAUCUCAAAGAGUUAAGAUGUUAAAUUUUAUGUUUUGUAUAUUUUAUCACAAAAAUAAAGUAGGAAAAAUUAAGGUGUCAGGGUAAAAAUGUAUUACGUUUUACAAAAACUAAGCCACAGUGGUACAGAACCACAAGGUGAUUCCCUCAAGAGCCUUCCAAAAGAGACCUGAACUGUGCCCAUAUAAUUGGAAUAAAAAUAAAACAGCUUUGCCUAAAAUGACUGUCUAGGUCCAUUAGAAGUCUGAAGAAAAACAUGCUCACUAGCCAAAUACUCCAUUUUUUGUAAAUCACAAUGUCUUUAAUGAGUUAAGAACCCUGAGAAAUCCUAUAGAGGGGAAAAAAAAAAAAAAAAAAAAAA
rnacentral:lncRNA from 1 species